AUCUAUGGCCAUACCACCUUAACGCUGGAAGAUAAGCAGGGUCAUGUCCGGCCAGUACUGGGAUGGGAGUCCACCUGGGAAUACUGGAAACAUUAGGCU
ensembl:rRNA 5S_rRNA 5S ribosomal RNA